rnacentral:rRNA from 1 species
UACGGGGGGGGGGCGAGCGUUGUUCGGAAUCACUGGGCGUAAAGGGCGCGUAGGCGGCCCGCACAAGUCUGCGGUGAAAACCCCCGGCUUAACCGGGGGCCGGCCGUGGAAACUGUCGGGCUGGAGGCUGGGAGAGGGCAGGCGGAAUUCCCGGUGUAGCGGUGAAAUGCGUAGAUAUCUGGAGGAACACCGGUGGCGAAGGCGGCAUCCUGGACCAACACUGACCGCUGAGUGAGCGAAAGCCAGGGGAGCAAACGGGG